AGUCAGAGCCAUAUCUCCUUGCAGGUCUUGCCUGGUGUCCCACUGAAGCUAAGCAGGGUUGAGCUUGGCCAGUAUCUGGAUGGGAGACCUCCUGGGGAAAACUAAGGUCGCUGGAAGUG
rnacentral:rRNA from 1 species